GCCAGCCAGCCGCACUGCGAGCUGGAACAACACUAAACACAGAAUAUUCAUCUGUGACUUCGACUUCAUGUCUCAUCCUCACAAACUGACUUUAUUCUGCAGUCUGGAAAACACGUGAAUUCGGAACUGACACGUCCAGCACCCACUUCUCUUCUUAUAGUUUGUAAACGAGUUACUGAACCAACUUUCUACUCUGAAGUGAGCUGUUCUCAGUGCGUCCAGUCAUCGAUCAUCUGCCCCGAUGCCAGAAACGGUGUCAUAAUACGAUAAUGCGGCUUCACACAUUCAGCGGUGAUUCCUGUGGUAAAACCCGAGCGUUAGGAUCCGAUGGGACAGUUUUACAGGCAUGAAAUGACUAUCAAAGGCUCCCGCAGUCUGGCCGCUGAGGCUUCGAGGCACGGACACAGGGAAGCCAGAAGGCACGGACUUUUACGCACAGAACACGGGAUCAAAUAAUAAACUGUGCUGACUUGUUUUCGUCCACUUUGCUGAUUUAUUUAUGUAAUGCAUCUCUCUCAACCAGCCCUUCCAGCAGCAUUUGUCACCGGCACUAUUAUUUCAGGUGUGCUAAUGGUGUCGCAGACACUUUUGCAGAGAGAGGAAGAGACAUGAUGAAGUGAAAAAGGAGGACAGGAGAAACUGAAGAACAGGAGGAAAAGAGUAUCAUCGGCAUCAUCAUCAUCACUUGAACUCCCCACUCCCUGUAACCCAAAAAAAAAAAAAAAAAUCCAGGGAUGAAUGAUCUGAAAGGUGAUCCAUUCAGGGUUGGAGGGGUAAGGGUGGCUGCGGGUGGAUGGGUGAGGAUGAGGGGGGGCUUUUCUCACACCUCCCAGGGAGACUGUGAAUUGAUCAGCACCUAAGAGAGGGAGAAAGAGAGGGAGGGGGGGAAGUGAGAAGAAAGGAGAGCGGCAAAGGAGAGAAAUGAAGGAUGACGAUGAGAAGAGGGCGAGUGGAAAAAGCUGGGUGUUGGAGCUAAGCUAUAAAACCAGGAGGGGGGGAAACAGAGUGAUAGGAAGGGAGGAGUGAGGCAAGGCUGCAGAAGAGGUGUGAAGACUCAUCUUUUUCUGGAUGGGUGUGAGUUUAGGCCGGAGCAGAGAGAGGCCUGGGAGCACAGCAUAGCCUAGUGGUAAUAAACCAGGAAACCCCAGUAGAGAAACAGCCAACAUCAGCUAUAAGGAAGCUAUAAAGUGUUUUUAAAAUCAAAAUAUAGUAUUCAGUCUGAGCCUGAUAUCUUUAAAGUUGAUUGCUAGCUAGUUUACUCUUAUAUGGAAAUCGGUUAAAAGGGACCGUUUCAGAAAUUCUAGAAGUCAUGUUUGUUUUUGUACAUUUUAUGAGAUAUUUAAUUCAUAUAAUACACAUAUCAAGGGAAAUUCCAGUCCCCUUGACAUAUUUUGUUUUAAAUUGUAUAAAACAGUAUUGUGUCCAUAGCAUAAAAUGCAGCGUACGGUAAAGGAAACAGUUGGGUAAUCAAUUUAAUCUAAAAAGGUUUCAGUAUUGAACAGCAUUACAGCAAAUAUACAGAUGUUUUCCUCUGGCUUUCCAGCCAAAAUUGUACUUUUUAAAAAUCUUUUCUUGUACAGCCGUUCCUCCAGAUGAUAGCCAGUUUCUUGCCACAGUGGCUGCUAGAAUAGAAAAACCCUAACCACAGCCAGUGUUGGCUUGUGGCUGUUCUUUAUCUCCCAGGCAGCAGUAAACACAUGGUCACUACAAAAUGCAGCUGUAACAUUCACCACAAAACCACUGUGAAGUACUCAUAUGGUAUGUCAAUGAAGGUGAUAAAAGCUGCAGCAUUCCACUUACCUCUUUGACUUGGCCACCCAGUUAAUAGCAAAUCAAUUCAUUUCUUAACAAAGUGUUUUGCAAAGUGUUUCAGAAUUAAUUCUGAGAGAUCCCUUUACUUUGUUUUAUUGCAAUUGCGAAAUAAGAAAUACGGCAAUAUAAAACGUUUCAUAUAUAAUGUAAAAAUGUGAAAUCAGAACAAUACUUAAACCAACAUGACAUAAAUAUGAAUAAAUCUUGAAUUUUAUUUUGUCAUCCUUUACAUUUUAAAGUAUUUGAUGUUUUCCUUAUCACAGUUUUAAUUAAGAUAAAACAUGGAGAGACAUAUGCAACAACUAGAUACAACAUCAAUUUACAGUAGGCUGUAUAUAAAUAUCAAGUUUGUCUUUUUUGUGGAUUUCAUCAGACUGUGAUGCCUUCAGGUUCUGGCGUGACACUUUUCCAACAGUGAAAAAAGCAACAUAAUUGUUAACUUUAGUUAAAUAUAGAUACAUUGUAAUUUCCUUACAAAAGUUCUAUUCAUUCAACUGUGUUUUACUCCAUAACUCCCCCAGGUCAUCAAUAGCACCCUGCAGUGGCCCUUUGCCCCCAAAAGAGGGCCCACCCCACAGUUUGAGAGCCACUAGCUUACAAGACAUAUUGUCAAUAUGCCAAUGAUCGUUAUGACUUGGACUUCAAAAUAAUUUCACAUUUGUUAGGAAAAUGUUGAGAUGAAAUGUAGAGCAAAUAUUUGGCAUAACAGGUCAGACAUGUGCACUCCAGUUCAGCAGCAGGGCACUCGUUCAUCCCUGCAGCAGCGAAUCAGAUUACUAAACAUACUGAUUGACUGCAGCGGUUUCUAGUGAACCUACUGCCAUCUCUUCUAAACAAAGUUAUCUCUACUGAAGUUCAAGAGGAGGUCAUCGGUCAGCUCUCAUCUAAGAUCCCUUGUAUACUGUAUGACCCUAAGGAUCCUAAUAAAGAAGCUUUCAAAGCAUAAAUUCAUCUCAUAACAACAAAUGUCAGCGAUAUGGUGAAAGCUUGCUCUACUGCGCACUAACUGUGGCUUCACAGUAAAUGGAGGCAAUUUAAAAAGAGAAAAUCCACCAAGGCUUUUUAAAGAAUGAGACAAACUUGUUUUCUGGGAAAAGUUUUUCUAAACCCACACGAAAACUGUCAAAGAAUCAAGGUAGCGUGAUUUGUUGUAAAUACCUUCCACUAAGCUUUUGUUAAUUAUCACAUGUGUCAUAACCAUCAAAAGACAACAACAGAUGACUUGGCACACGCUAAUGUUUGACAUUUCUAUCUUUGUACCCUUUGUUCCCUCACUCUCUUUUUCCUCAUUUGUUUAUGACACAUUAUACCACACCUGCCUCCAAUAAUUAGUCUUCCCUCUCACUUUUCUUGCUUUGUCCUUGAGUUUCUAAAUGCAGACAAAACCAGUGAAUUACGAAGCCUCCGUUCUAAAAAGCCUCAUAUAGCAUCACCUCUCGGGUGAGAAUUAAUCAUUAAUCUUUACUGUGCAAUGUUUGGUUUUCUUUAAAACUAUACUAUUUUAUGACAGUUAAACUGUUCCCAGGAAUGUAAUGGGUCACAGUGAUUUCUACUGAAACAUUUAUCUGCAAGUGUCCAUUGACACUUAUAUGCUAAUAUAAGAACUCAUUUGCACUCACUGCAGCUCAUUUUCCCGUACUUUUAUUUACUAUUAGUGAUCACAUAUGGGUACAAAAGAAGACACAUUAGACAAGAUAAAUAUCUAUAGCUGUGUACAGACAUAUUUUAGUGUGGUUUAAGUGUCAAUCUCUGAACUCGUGUUUGCAAAAGCAUCUUGGUUUUAUAACUUCUAUGGAAAUGUACAUGAGUACCGUGUGGAUACAUUGGUUAAACAAAUGAAAAAAGAAAUGUGGUUUCUCCUCAGCAAACUCAAAUAAAAAAA